CAAGUCGAGCGGAGCAUGAGGUGCUUGCACCUUAUCUUAGCGGCGGACGGGUGAGUANNGCUUAGGAAUCUGCCUAUUAGUGGGGGACAACAUUCCGAAAGGAAUGCUAAUACCGCAUACGUCCUACGGGAGAAAGCAGGGGAUCUUCGGACCUUGCGCUAAUAGAUGAGCCUAAGUCGGAUUAGCUAGUUGGUGGGGUAAAGGCCUACCAAGGCGACGAUCUGUAGCGGGUCUGAGAGGAUGAUCCGCCACACUGGGACUGAGACACGGCCCAGACUCCUACGGGAGGCAGCAGUGGGGAAUAUUGGACAAUGGGGGAAACCCUGAUCCAGCCAUGCCGCGUGUGUGAAGAAGGCCUUAUGGUUGUAAAGCACUUUAAGCGAGGAGGAGGCUACUGAGACUAAUACUCUUGGAUAGUGGACGUUACUCGCAGAAUAAGCACCGGCUAACUCUGUGCCAGCAGCCGCGGUAAUACAGAGGGUGCGAGCGUUAAUCGGAUUUACUGGGCGUAAAGCGUGCGUAGGCGGCUUUUUAAGUCGGAUGUGAAAUCCCCGAGCUUAACUUGGGAAUUGCAUUCGAUACUGGGAAGCUAGAGUAUGGGAGAGGAUGGUAGAAUUCCAGGUGUAGCGGUGAAAUGCGUAGAGAUCUGGAGGAAUACCGAUGGCGAAGGCAGCCAUCUGGCCUAAUACUGACGCUGAGGUACGAAAGCAUGGGGAGCAAACAGGAUUAGAUACCCUGGUAGUCCAUGCCGUAAACGAUGUCUACUAGCCCGUUGGGGCCUUUGAGGCUUUAGUGGCGCAGCUAACGCGAUAAGUAGACCGCCUGGGGAGUACGGUCGCAAGACUAAAACUCAAAUGAAUUGACGGGGGCCCGCACAAGCGGUGGAGCAUGUUGGUUUAUUUCGAUGCAACGCGAAAAACCCUUACCUGGCCUUGACAU
rnacentral:rRNA from 1 species